rnacentral:sRNA from 1 species
GCCCUCUUUCACCACAAUUGUAACAUCGAU